rnacentral:lncRNA from 1 species
UUUUGGGCAUCUCUCUCUUUUUCUUAUUUCUGUACUUGUAAAAUAAUAAAUAAAUAAAAUCUUCAAGCAUUGAAGACUCUCCGUUGCUCAAGUGAUCUCUCUUUGUGAUCUCAAGUUAGAUAGUUUUAAAUUCUAUUCUGUUCAUAAAAAUCAUGAUAAGCUCAUCAAGUAUUGAAUCAUGACAUAAGUAACAUCCUCUUACCCUCUUUUAAAGUGGUCCUAAUAUUAUAAGUAAUUUUGGUAUAAAGUUAAGAUUACAAGCCAAUAGUUAAGUGAUUUAAGGGAACCUUGUCCAUGUUUCUCCCGCAGUCAAAUUCAAAGGAGUUUUUAAAUGUGACCGGUUUUAAUUUACCUUAUAAGCUAAACUAUAUGAUUUGUUAAUAUGGUAAAAAGGUCACUAUCUAGAUACUAUUACUAAUGGUAUCAGAGCCAUGGAAUAAAAGGGGGAAGACAUGUGUUAUUAGUGUUAUGUCCCCCUUGUAUCCCGACUCAAAAUUAACUUAACAUGUUCUAAUAAAAAUACCAACAUACGAUACUGAUAGGUUGACCAAAUAUCAUCUUUUGUCUAUGUACAAAGCUACAACUCAAGGAAGCAUGGAUGUGCUUGAGCAAGCCUAGUCGUGCUAAAACCUAAAUCAAGAAUUCUUGUGAUCAGAAAUGGAAAACUCAAUAUAAACUUCGUAUAUCUUCGUUGCACCAUCUCUCUCAGGGAGGCAUUGUCGGUUAUGUAGUCAACAGCACGUCAGGCGUGUCCUUGAUACUUUGGUAGUUAAAGGCCUAGGCAUCUCAAUCAUACUCAAGAUGAGUUGUAUGAUCUUAUGCAAGGGAGACACGCAACUUGGCCCAGGCGAGGCGCGGAGCAGUCGCGAGGGUGGCAACGGGUGUUGGAAAGCGCUUCAUAAUGAUUAAAGAAACUCAAAACGACCAUAUCGACGGCCAGUUAUGGAUAAACGAGUUAGAACGGUCGAUUUAACAACAAAAUAUGCUUAAAUUGGAGUAUGUUCAUAAUGGAUUGAUGUCUAAUUAAACUAGUUAGGCAUUUAAUUAAUUGGUGGGCUGAUAUCCAAAUUCAAGUUGGGCCAAGUUGAUAAUUAAGUAGUUUGAGCAAUAGAUGAUUUGGGCUACAACCUAAAAAAUCACAAGACUCAAAUGUUAGUACAACUUUAUAGUUAAAAAUAAGACAACAUUAUAUAAGACUCUGAGAAGUUUGAGUAUUGUAAAAAUUGGUUAUUUUGUAAAUUAAGUUAGUAAACAGAAUAU